rnacentral:tRNA from 1 species
GCGGUCUUACUCAAGUGGUUGAAGAGAACGGUCUUGAACACCGUUAGGUUGGUAAAUCCGAUGCCAGAGUUCAAAUCUCGCCGGAUACACCA